GAUGAACGCUAGCGGAAGGCUUAAUACAUGCAAGUCGAGCGGUAGGUGGCUUCGGCCAUUGAGAGCGGCGCACGGGUGAGUAACGCGUACAUGACCUGCCUGUCAGAAGGGGAUAGCCCUGGGAAACUGGGAUUAAUACCCUAUGGUAUUGAUAUUAUGAAUGAUAUCAAUUAAAGUUGAGGCGCUGACAGAUGGAUGUGCGUCUGAUUAGCUAGUUGGUAGGGUAAAGGCCUACCAAGGCCACGAUCGGUAGCUGGUCUGAGAGGAUGAUCAGCCACACUGGGACUGAGACACGGCCCAGACUCCUACGGGAGGCAGCAGUGGGGAAUAUUGGACAAUGGGCGCAAGCCUGAUCCAGCAAUGCCGCGUGUGUGAAGAAGGCCUGCGGGUUGUAAAGGCACUUUCAGUGGGGAAGAACAGAUUCGGGUCAAUACCCGGAGCCCUGACGUUACCCACAGAAGUAGCACCGGCUAACUCCGUG
rnacentral:rRNA from 1 species